UUCUUAAAGGGGUUAUGUGUACAAAUACAUAGUUCAAAAAAUUUAAAAAUAUAACUAUAAAAGUAUGUGGCAAAAUCCCAUUCAUAUCCUAUUCUCCCUCCACAGCCAAACACUUUUAAUUGGUUUCUUAUGUAUCAUUUUGGAAUUUAUAUUUGCAAAUACACAUGUAUAUUCUUAUUCUACUCUUCUCUCUCAACACAGAAAGUAGCAGACCAUAUAUAUUAUACCAUUCCUUGUUCCUUUUUAAAAACACACAAAAUAUAUCUGAGUUCUUCUACAUGAGUACAUAGGUCUUUCUCAUUCUUCUUUACAACUACACAGUAUUCCAUCGUUUGGAUGUACCAUAGUUUAUUGAACCAGUUCCCUGUUGGUGGACACUGAAGUCAUCCUUAUCAUACUAUCACAAACAAUAUUGGCAAGGCAAGCAUAACCACCUACACACACCAAGUUCAUUUCUGAAUGUGCCUUUGAUGAAGCUUCUGUUUAAAUCUCCACAAGAUCACAAGGCUGAAAAGUUAGCCCCUUUUUCAGUUUUCAUUAUGUACAGCAGUAUGUAGCAAAAGACUCCCUUGAGCAAAGCAAAUGUACUCUUUGAGGAUUUAUUUCAUAAAAUAAAUGGAUAAACAGAACACCCAGCAUAACAAUUUCUAUUUAACAAUGCAUAUGUAUGUAUACAAUACAUGCAUAUGCAUAGAAAGUAUAAAAUAAAUCCGUCAAAGCAUUAAGCAUUGUCUCAGUAUGCUGGACCUAUGGAGUGCUUUGUAGAUUCCCCCUCCUUGUCUAUCAGUUCUAAUUUCACAACAGUGAAUAUGUACAAUUUUUGCAAUAUAAAAUUUCAAAAAAUGUUAACUCACAUUAAGCUGGAUACAUUCUUUCAGUCUGUCCUACAUUUGUAUAGUGCUCCAGUGUGUUCAAAUAUCACUUCAUUUUAAAAUAUUUUUUUUCAAAUAUAGAGACAGACAGGGUCUUGCUCAGUCGACCAAGUUGGUCUUGAACUCCUAGAUUCUCCUGGAUCCUCCCACCUCCGCCUCCCAAAGUGCUGGUAUUACAAGUGUGAGCCAUCACGCCCAACCAGCUUCAUUUGAGAAACCUUUCCCAAGCACUCCAUAUAUUACUAAUUAUUCCUUUCUUCAUUUUUAUAUAGGAUUUUCUUCAUAUCUCUAUUACCUCACUUGUCACAUGAUAAUCAGUUACUCACCCAUCUGUCUCCCUUGAUUGCUCGUGGGCUCCUUGAGCAAUGUGCGACCUUGAACAGUGUGUGACACAUACAUGCUUCCUACACAGAGAAGGAAAUGAUUUCGCUACAGUGUCAAUCAUUACCAGAAUUCAAUACCUGUAUUUCUAAAUCGUUCUAGAUACUCUGCCAACAACUUGAGAAUGUUACGCUCUUUCCCUAAAACUUCCAUCCAUUCCAGCCAUAGUUAACUCAAUUGUGACAUGCUCUCUGGCCAAGCCCAUUUGUAGUUUUUUCUUUAGGUGAUUUUUAAUUUUAAUUUUUGAUUUUGAUUGUUUGCUUUUUGGUAUUUUUUAAUCUAGGAGUGUUUGGUAAACUUCACCAUGUCUAUAUGUCUGUGUCUUUGCACCUGGUGGUCUCUGCUUGGAAUGAUGUCUCAAGGUUUUAUUCACCUGGAAAGAAUUCCUACUCACCCUUAAAGACUCAGCUUAAAUAACCCCUUCUCUGGUAAACCUUUACAUUCUCCCAUUCUUUCAGUAAGAGUUGAGAAUUCCUCUACUCUUGAAAUGUUUGUGCCUCUAUUACUAUGUAUCAGGCAGUGAACUAAGCGUCUAGGAUAGAAAGAUGAAACGGUAGAACCUGCCCUCAUGGAGCGCAUGGUCUAGUAUGGAAAACAGCCAUAUGAACAAAUAACCACACUAUAAUAUUAAAUGCAAUACCAAAAGGGAAAUGUAUUGAAUAUUUGACAUGUGUCAAUUACCUUGUUAGAUACCUUAUUAACAAUUAUCUAUGAUCAUAUUAGAUACGUAUUUGAAUUGGACAGAAGGCCAUGAAACUCUAGGACUGCUAGAGUUUGUUAUGCUCUCAAUUGUCUUCUAAAGAAACUGUCUCCUAAUGGUUCUUUCUGAAUAUGCUAUAGUCAUACAACUAUUGUGCAACUGUAGCAUACACAAAAAGCAUAUCUGUAGCAUACUCAUGUGACCAAUAAUGCAUAAAACCAACCUUACUUCUUUGGCCACAAGUAACUGGACCAAGGCUCAGUGUUUCAGCUAAGGACAACAUAUAGGUUGAACUUCAGGGACAAUCGCCAAGGACAUGGCAUGGCUCAAAAUUCUCUCUAAUAGGGGCCUUCCGUUUUUAGAAGGUGACAGGCUAACCCAAUCAGAUAUUCUCUCUUGGAAAAUACAAAUGUUGGGUGAACAAAGGAAAAGAGGGCAGGUUUUCAGAGCUCAAAUCCUAUCCUAAAUACUGCUAAAUUAAUGUUCUGUGAAGUUUUGAAAGUACUAGGGCCAAGAAACAAUAUGGCUACUUAGAUGACUUCCCAUCCAAGUUUACAUUCGGCCCUCAUUACCAAAGGUGAUAAGUGUGUGCCUCUUCCUUGCAACCCAUCAGGGUCUAACACAUCAUAUCGCCACUUCUGAAAUUAGGAAAUAGGCUCAGAAGUCCAAGAGCUUGACCAGAGUAAUUCACUUGGUAGGUAGCAGAACCAGAAUUCAAAGAGCAAGUCGGCGUGAUUCUUCUCCAAUAUCCUGCCAGUUACAUGGGCAAGUGGCCUCAAAAUCAACAAAAGACAAGUAGAGGUUGACAUGUGUCAAUGGAAAGAGGCUCAAAAGGAAGAGUUUGUACACAAGAAUAGAACAGAAACGUUCUGGAAGUAUGUCUGGGGAUGUGAAGUAGGAAGGGGCACACCAGGUUUCACCUUGGUCAAGUGACUGUCUAAUUCCCCCGAGCUCCAGACUCAGCUAUCUGUCUUUCUCACUCUAAUAUAAAAUCCACAGGGCAGGACCUUAAUCUCUAGCUUGUUCACCACAGAUUAAAGCAGAGUCUGGCUUAAUAGUAAGUGCUUAAUAAAUAUAUGAAUGAAUAAAUGAAUGAACAUUCCACAUUGUUGGGGGAAGGGGUUAUCAUGAACCAGACCCUAGCAGUCACUUACAAAUACAGUUGAUCCUCAUUAUUUGUGGAUCCUAUAUUUGCAAAUUUGCUUACUUGCUAAAAUGUGUUUGUAAUCUCCAAAUUAAUACUUGUGGAGCUUUCAAGGUGAUUCAUGGACAUACACACAGUAGUGAAAAAUCUGUCACUCCUUAUGCACGUUCCAAGCUAAGGUCAAAUAAGGUGACCCUGGGCCUCCUUGUUUCAGCUCUCAUACAAAGAUGACCCAAGGACAGAGGCAACAGAGGGCAGUGCAGGGUAGUGCAAGAAGCUCUGGCUCUAGGACUAAUUGGACGAGGUCUGAAUCUUAACUCUGGCACCUGUUAGUGAAGCAGCCUCAAGCAAAUCACUUAAUGCUUCUGUACUUCCUUUAUUGUUUUGUAAAUAAAGAAAAUUCAAUCUACCAAG
rnacentral:lncRNA from 10 species